rnacentral:rRNA from 1 species
GACGAACGCUGGCGGCGUGCUUAACACAUGCAAGUCGAACGAUGAAGCUGGAGCUUGCUCCGGUGGAUUAGUGGCGAACGGGUGAGUAACACGUGAGAAAUCUGCCCUUCACUCUGGGAUAACUGCGGGAAACUGUAGCUAAUACCGGAUACUUUCCCUGGUGGGCAUCUACUAGGGAAGGAAGAAUUUCGGUGAAGGAUGAUCUCGCGGCCUAUCAGCUAGUUGGUGAGGUAAUGGCUCACCAAGGCGACGACGGGUAGCCGGCCUGAGAGGGUGACCGGCCACACUGGGACUGAGACACGGCCCAGACUCCUACGGGAGGCAGCAGUGGGGAAUAUUGCACAAUGGGCGAAAGCCUGAUGCAGCAACGCCGCGUGAGGGAUGAAGGCCUUCGGGUUGUAAACCUCUUUUAGCAGGGAAGAAGCGAAAGUGACGGUACCUGCAGAAAAAGCACCGGCUAACUACGUGCCAGCCGCCGCGGUAA